UCGUUUGGGCUUUUAUUUACAUUUCAGGCCUAGAAUUGACAUUGGUUUGUUCGUCCUUUUGCUUUGGAGUUUCGAGCGUCUGCCGGCUGACGAAAGUUCCAUAUUUUGAUUCGUAUGGAACUUAAGUAUUAGAUUGAUACCUCCCCGAUUUGAUUCUUUAAAGAUUUCGUCGCCGUUGUUGACGAAAAAGCAAGCGCAUCGACGGUUCGGAAGGGGAGGCGUAGGGCUGCUACUUAUUGAAGAACAGAUUGUCAAUCCACAUCUGCUGUCUCAGAGCAUUGAGAAUCCGAUCUAAGCUGCUGUACAGUUAGUUUAGUACCAAUUAUGGAAGUGAACUUGGGAAGAUUAUGCUUGACACGACGUUUGAGGAACGAGAUUUGCUGAAUGAAAAGACUGUGCCAGGGGAUAUCAUAGCUCCUAAUGGAGUGAGGGUGGUGCUAUGAAAAUGCAAGUGGAAGCUAAACAUAAAAAGAGAGUCCAGGCCAGAUUCUUGAGUCUGAAGGUAAUUAUGCAUUGCUUAUCUUUGCAUGUCUGCUAGAUUUUUGCUUUCCAUUCCCUUAAAUAUUAGGUAAAGCGAAUGUUAUAUGUUGGAUUUAGUGGCUGAAACUCCAAUAUGCCUUUUAUGGUUAUUUUUCUAUCAGCUGAAAUAUAUUUCAGUUUAUCUUCAUUCUUUCAUGCUCUUCAGAUUGUUCAGGACUUAUAAUGAUUUUGAUUGUGUGUUUGUCUACUUAGGCUGUUGCUUUUAAAAUGGUUUUCGUAUAUAUUGAUUCUGGGUUUGAUAUCCUUAUUAUCGUACCGUGCCGAACAAGGAGAGGAGUGUUAAUUGCAGUGAAAAGCCAGAAGAGAGGGAUACCCAGUUAAGAAUUUAAAAGUCUGUAGAAAAGAGGAUGACAAUGGUGGGAAAUUUCAUCAUGAGAGCUUUGUGGAGCAAACUUCUAAUAGCUCAAAUGGAGGUGCAUCAUGAGUAGCAGUAGAGUUUGGACAACUUCUGACGUGGGAACUUAAACGGGAAAUUCAUAUGAUGAUGAUAACGGUGUGGGGAUGAUUGGGAAGCUCUUGCUGAUGUAGUAACAGCUGAAGAAGAGAAUAAAAAAUAUUAUCUCCUCCAUGAGUACGUCAAGGAGCAAUAGAGUUUGGACAACUUCUGAUGUGGGUGAUUCCAAUCUUGACGCAACAUAUAUUGUGGGUGUUAGAGAUAGAAAGCAUGAUUGUUAGAAUACCAUCAAAGAAGGAAAAAGCAGUUGACGAAAUUCUCCAGCAAUCGAUGCCAUUAUUAAGUGCCUCGACAACCAUUAUUUACUGCUUCAGUUAUAAAUGUUUACCGCUUUGCGUUACAUUUUGAUUUAUAUGUCUUUUUGCAUGCAAGUGACCUGUUAAAAAAUAUGAUCUAUAGAUAAUGCACACACUACCUGAUUCAAAGCA